rnacentral:rRNA from 1 species
AGUGGCGGACGGGUGAGUAAUGUCUGGGAAACUGCCCGAUGGAGGGGGAUAACUACUGGAAACGGUAGCUAAUACCGCAUAACGUCUUCGGACCAAAGUGGGGGACCUUCGGGCCUCACACCAUCGGAUGUGCCCAGAUGGGAUUAGCUAGUAGGUGGGGUAAUGGCUCACCUAGGCGACGAUCCCUAGCUGGUCUGAGAGGAUGACCAGCCACACUGGAACUGAGACACGGUCCAGACUCC